AGUGAACGCUGGCGGUAGGCCUAACACAUGCAAGUCGAACGGCCGCACAGUAAGAGCUUGCUCUUACGGGUGGCGAGUGGCGGACGGGUGAGGAAUACAUCGGAAUCUACUUUUUCGUGGGGGAUAACGUAGGGAAACUUACGCUAAUACCGCAUACGACCUACGGGUGAAAGCAGGGGAUCUUCGGACCUUGCGCGAUUGAAUGAGCCGAUGUCGGAUUAGCUAGUUGGCGGGGUAAAGGCCCACCCAGGCGACGAUCCGUAGCGGGUCUGAGAGGAUGAUCAGCCACACUGGAACUGAGACACGGUCCAGACUCCUACGGGAGGCAGCAGUGGGGAAUAUUGGACAAUGGGCGCAAGCCUGAGCCAGCCAUACCGCGGGGGUGAAGAAGGCCUUCGGGUUGUAAAGCCCUUUUGUUGGGAAAGAAAAGCAGCAGGUUAAUACCCCGCUGUUCUGACGGUACCCAAAGAAUAAACACCGGCUAACUUCGU
rnacentral:rRNA from 1 species